GCACGAGGCACAUAAAUCACACAUAAAUCUUCUGGACAGACUUGCCCAGUAGGACACAGCUGGCACAUCUGGCCUUGCUCAGACCUUGCACCACCCCUCAAUGGCAUCUCCGGCCUCAGUGCUGCCCCACGGCCAAGGGACUCAAAUUUACCUCACAACAGUUUCUUCCUUCAGAAAAAGACCAAUCAGACUCUGCAGAGCUUCUCCACAUUGCACUGAGGACUCUGAAAGCAAAACAUGAGGAUAUGAUGGAGUAACCAGAAAACGCAGAGGAGAUUACAGCCUGGAGAGCUGGAGAUUUCCUGUCUGAAAAAAAGUUAAUAAGAG